ensembl:lncRNA
AUGUGUUACCAUAGACAUUGCCCUACCUGGGUGACUUGUAAGCUUCAGGUUGAAUACUACACCUUUAAACCAUUUGAUUUUGUUUCCCAGGUGGUGCAUUUGAGUGGGAUGAUGACUUCCCAUCUCCAGAGCCCAAUUUCCUUUCAAAGGCAGCCAGUGAUCAUUCUGCCAGUAGGCCCGGUGGGACUUCAGCAGCUUCUAAGUAUUUCUCACCACCCCCUGCGAACCGCACCCUGGAGCAGAGCUGGAACAGUCCCUCCAACUACUCGCGCUUCUCCAUCUCCCCAGCCAGCAUCGCCAGCUUCUCCCUCACCCACCUCACAGACUCCGACAUUGAGCAAGGGGGAAGCGGUGAAGACGGAGAGAAAGAUUAACCAAGCUAUCAGACUCAUAAAUAUUGGAGAUAUGUCAUGGAUGUCUUUGAUUGCUUCUCAGGCAGCAUUGGUAUUUAUUUGAGGAUAUGAAGGGGACUGCAGAGACUGAGCUGAUGUCUGGAUUUCCAUGAACUAUGAUUUGCUGUUUUUCAUCAGUGCAAUUUGGAGGAACCUUGCUUCACUUAUACUUUAGAAACGUUCACACGCUUCCUAAGUGCCAUGCCUCACUUUUUUUUCUUUCCCUAAAUGCAUUCCUUCAUUGUGUCCACGUUUUACGUUAGAAGGAUGAAGCUGAAGUUUAUCACUCAACACUAAUGAGCCAAUAGAGUCAAACUCAGUUGUGCAAUUGAAAUCAUAUGAUACUUGCCUUUUAUUUUAACACACUGGAUUCUAUUUUAUUUUUUUAUGUGAAAUCUGGUGUGAUAAGCUUAUUUAUAUGAUCGUGUAAUGGAUUCGAUUUCCAAUAGAAGCAACAUGGGUCUCCACAGAUAUUUUUGUACAGUGUUUGUACUACUUUUUCAUUGCAACAAACCACUUUCACCCAAGCAACGACUCGCAUAGUUCCAGUGACAUGUUUCGUAUUAAAAGAUGUAAAAGUCAGGAUAUGGGCAGCUGAAGGGUUUUGGACAUGAGACACUAGUAAGUGCAAGUUUUUUUUUUUUUAUUUAGUACAUAGGGGAUCUAGAACAUAUCCAGGUCAUAUUUCACCCCAAAAUCAAAAGAAACAAGAACUAUUUUUACAAUCAAGUUUUUGUUUUCAUAGUGGCAUUAUUUUCAUGACAGUUAUGCAUAUUUCCCCCCCCCCAUAAAUUCUUAUUACUGUAAUGUGAAACGAGUAAUAUCAUACUCAAAUUGUAAAGUGUUUGUAUUAUAAUGGUAGUUUUUGUUUUACUGAAUUGAAAUAUGAAUGAUAGAAUUGUGGUAAUGAUGUUAAUAUUGAUAUUUUGCUAAAUAUAUUAUUAUUUUCUCUAUAGAUUUUGGAUUGAAAUGUGAUCCAGACACUUUUUGUGAGAUGCAUCAUCACUGUUGGCGGUAAAUUGAACUACAUGUUCAGCGAGUAAUUGUGAAAGCUCUGGUGGUCAUAGAGGCUAGCUAGAGACUAGCGGAUCUUCCAAAGGCAAUGGCUGCUUGUAGCAUUGAGUAGGAAUACUAUUCAAAGGAAAAACAAAAGAACCUCUUUAAGUUUCUGAUUCCCUUGUGUUAACAUUAAACAGCAGCUUGUAAACACUCAAGGGAUGGGAAAUGAAUUAGUUUUUUCUUUUUUUGGUGCACGUGUAUUAUUCAUUGGACCUGAAAGGUAAUCGUCAUAGGUUGUAUGAAUCAUAUUUGCCAAUCUUGCUGCUCAUGAUGCUUUUUCUUUGGGUUGAGAAUGACGGAUAUAAACUUAUGUAUAUAGUAGAAAUCAAAUCGAGGGGAUUCUACACAAUCAGCAAGAAAAACAUUCAACAUUAUUGAAUAUUUCCUUGGUUCAGUCUGGAAGAAUGUUGAUUUUUGGUAUGAUAUACUCAAGAUAAUGUUGCAUAAAUGGGUUUUCGUUGGAAUAAUCGGGUGCAUAGCUUCUACAUCCCCUUGUAAUUCAGUACAGUGAUCUCUAUGUUUUAGACCUGUUGAAUAUCGGUAUUACCAGCACUCGAUUUGUUCAACUUGACAUUUUAUGAAAGGAAAUUCUUUGGUUUUAUUCUACAGUAUACUUUGCUUAAUAUUGCACAUCUUUUAAGUGUAACUUCAUCUUGAAUUGUUCUCCUGUAUAUAAUUGUUUCAUUUUGUCUGUAAGUUGGGAACGGUGUGAGUAGGUAUGAGGACUGAUUUUGUAAUUUAAAGCUAAAAUGUGACGUCAUGGGGGAGAAGUGAUCGAAAAAGAUUAAUUAUUGAUUAAAUAAAUGGGGAAAUGCAGGUCA